GCCGACACGAGGACCAGUCGCGCUUGCCGCCUCUUGCCAGCCUGUUUUUGCGUGGCUCAGCGGACUGCCGACGGAAAAUGCCGAAAGUUGUUCCAGACUACUGGCACAUUUCCUGCUCUCAGCUAACCCCUGCUCUGCCAGCGUGGGAUGUUUUUCUAGCACAUUGCUAACGUGCCAAGAAGCAUAUGUAUAUCUUUGUGAAUAUGGAAGUUAUUUUCCAAAUUUUACAGCUUCUGACCCAGAAACAGGAAUAUUCAUCACUGCAGCAUAAUUUCAGACCUGCCAAGAAUAUAUCAAUUAUGUCAUGUGGAUGUGCUAAGGGAAAGGAUGAAAGCGGGAGUACAGCAAUUCCCCCUGCUCCCUGCACUAGCUAUUCAGAGAGCGAUGAAGUACAUCCUUGUGCAGUAUGUGAGAUUGCCAGCCCCUGAAUUUACAAUGAAGCUAGAGCAACUUGGCCAACAACUUGCUCUGCCAGAUCUCCU